CCCAGCCGGCGCUGCUCCUGUGACCUCCAGCAGCGAAGAUGAUCGUCCAGAGGAAGGUCAUGAUGAAGCAGAAGACGGAGACGAACAUCACCCACCCCAGAGGGUUUGGAGGGUCCACAUGAGUGGAGGCUACCAGGAUCCAAACCAAACCACCAAACACCUGCAGAAGGACAGAUGGAGUUCUUCCAUCGAAUGGCAGAGAAAAUGGUGUGAAGGAAGUAGAGAAGAGUGGCGACGUAGGACAUGACCUGAAAACAGACGGAGAGAAACCAGAUGGAUGAUAAUGAGCCUGAGGGACGGCCAGAUGCUGCUCUGAUUGGCUCCGCAGAGGAAGAUGAAGAACCAGAGCGUCGUCCCCACGAAGCAGAAGAUGGAGACGAACAUCACCCAGCCCAGAGGGUUUUCAGGAAUCACCCGACUGGAAGCCACCAGGAUCCACACCAAACCUCCAAACACCUGCAGCAGAGAGCGACGGAUGUAGAAGUACGUUUAGAGGAUGAACACAUUCCUAAUCAGUAAACUGGAGAUAAAAGCUGAUCUGUUGUUGCUUCACUGUUUCCAACAAACAACAGCUAGAAAACAUCAGUGAACACUGAGACAUUUCUGAACCUGCAAAAGACAAAUUAGAAAUGAAACUAUGGCUGAAACUGAUGUAGUAGAAUAAGACUAAGCAGACUAUUAUUAUUAUUAUUAUUAUUAUUAUUGUUAUUGUUAUUAUUAUUUCUAUAAUUAUUAUUAUUAUUGUUAUUAUUGUUAUUAUAACUUAUGCUAAAACUGUAAAUAAUAUAUUAAUUAUUGCCACACAGAUUCUGUUAAAUUGCAGAUAAAAUCUGGUAAAAUCAACAAAAAAUGGUUCAUUUACAUGUUUUUCAUAAAAACAAAAAAAUUGAAAAUUGAAAAAUGGUGAAAAUUUUUCACUACAAGUUGAUUUUAAAAAUCUGAAAUUUUCACAAAAUGAUUUGCAAAUUUUACCGUAUUUAAAUAGUAUAAAAAUCUAAUUAUUUUCUGGGUGUUUACUGUUUGUAAAAAGAAAAAAAUACCUCUAUAAAUUAUUCUUUUACAGAUGUUCCCUUAGCUGUUAAACUGCAGAUAAUAUCUGGUACAACCACAAAAAAAAAUCUAUAUUAAUUUCCAUGUUAAUCAUAAAAAUAAAGGAACAACUCAAUAAUAAUAAUAAAAACUGGCCAUAACUGUU